rnacentral:tRNA from 1 species
UGGCUUAGUGGUUAAGAGCACUGACUGCUCUUUCAGAGGACCUGGGUUCAAUUCCCAG